UACAGAGGGUGCAAGCGUUGUUCGGAAUUAUUGGGCGUAAAGGGCGCGUAGGCGGUGCGGUAAGUCUGUAGUGAAAUCUCUGGGCUCAACUCAGAGUCUGCUGCAGAAACUGCCGUGCUUGAGUGUGGGAGAGGUGAGUGGAAUUCCCGGUGUAGCGGUGAAAUUCGUAGAUAUUCGGAAGAACACCAGUGGCGAAGGCGACUCACUGGCCCGAUACUGACGCUGAGGCGCGAAAGCGUGGGGAGCAAACAGG
rnacentral:rRNA from 1 species